rnacentral:rRNA from 1 species
GACGAACGCUGGCGGCGUGCUUAACACAUGCAAGUCGAACGAAGUGGCGAACGGGUGAGUAACGCGUAAUCAACCUGCCCUUCAUAGGGGUACAACAGUUGGAAACGACUGCUAAUACCGCAUACUUAAGGCGGGGCUUGCGUCUGAUUCGCUGGUUGGAGGGGUAACGGCCCACCAAGGCGAUGAUCAGUAUCCGGUCUGAGAGGAGGAACGGCCAAAUUGGGACGGAGACACGGCCCAGACUCCUACGGGAGGCAGCAGUGGGGAAUCUUCCGCAAUGGACGAAAGUCUGACGGAGCAACGCCGCGUGAGUGAUGACGGCAUUCGGGUUGUAAAGCUCUGUUAAUCGGGACGCGGUACCGGAAUAGAAAGCCACGGCUAACUACGUGCCAGCAGCCGCGGUAAUUC